rnacentral:rRNA from 1 species
GAUGAACGCUAGCUACAGGCUUAACACAUGCAAGUCGAGGGGUAACGAGAGGAAAGCUUGCUUUCCUUGUCGACGACCGGCGCACGGGUGAGUGACGCGUAUCCAACCUGCCCCCAACUAGGGAAUAACCUUGCGAAAGUAAGACUAAUACCCUAUAAUUUCCUCAGAUGUCAUCUGACGAGGAAUAAAGAUUUAUCGGUUGUGGAUGGGGAUGCGUCUGAUUAGCUUGUUGGCGGGGUAACGGCCCACCAAGGCAACGAUCAGUAGGGGUUCUGAGAGGAAGGUCCCCCACAUUGGAACUGAGACACGGUCCAAACUCCUACGGGAGGCAGCAGUGAGGAAUAUUGGUCAAUGGGCGGAAGCCUGAACCAGCCAAGUAGCGUGCAGGAUGACGGCCCUAUGGGUUGUAAACUGCUUUUAUACAGGAAUAAAGUUAGCGACGUGUGGUUAUUUGUAGGUACUGUAUGAAUAAGGACCGGCUAAUUCCGUGCCAGCAGCCGCAGUAA